UUCUCUCUUCAAUUCUUCUGAGAAAGAUUCCAUAUCUAGAUAUUUUCGUCAUCUUAUUGAGUUACAACAAUGGUCCGAUGACUAUGACCAUAAUAAAGUCAAAUCUAUCAGAGGAUUUUUUGUCUACAACAUCGUGCUAAAUGAAAAAUGAUGAUGAAUUAAUAGAUGAUUCAACGAUAAAUACGAGUUCCGACUCAAGCCUCGAAGGGCCAAAGCAGAAAAAUAUCGAUCUUCGGAUCGAGAUGAGUCUCAAGAAGAUCUAUAGGCCGACCCCAAUCGAUCGAAUCUACAUAUCGACUCUGGCUAGCAACUCUACAUGCCGACUUUGAUCGAUCGAAUCUACAUGUCGGCUUCGAUCGAUCGACUUAAUAUGUCGAUUUGAUUAUGUUCGAAUGGAACAAUAUGCCAACUCAACUAUAAUCGGACGAAAUAAUAUGCCGACUCGAUUAUAGUCGGAUGGAAUAAUAUGCUGACUCAACU
rnacentral:lncRNA from 1 species